AAAAACCUUUCAUAAUUUUUUGCGACGCUGUCUUUCUAAAAAAACCCUCACAACUUCGAAAAUCAUCGUCGCCAUCUCUAUCUCUCAAAACCUCUCAAUUUUGCGUCGUUGUCUCCCUCCACCGUUCCCCUCUUGCAAACUCUCUCUCACAAUUUUGCGUCAACUUUUCCUAUCCCUUGUGAACGCUCCAGUCGAAGGUGAAACAAUUUUUGGCCUUGAGUUUUCACAAAUUUACAGUCGAAGGUGAAUUGAUCCAGUCUAGAUACCUCGAGUUUUCGGCCUCUCUCUCUCAGACGCUUUAGUUGCCAUUUGAAGGAGCCUACCAAACUAUCUGAUGCUUCUCCUCCCUCCUUCGUCCGUUUUGCAUCAUCUUCAUUCCUCCAAUUGUUUGAUUAUUUGAAUCAAUUCGGUAAUUGAAGAAUCCAUGGACCAUCGAUCAAGCUCAUUUAUGCGUCAGUUUGAUUAGAUUAUUAAGUCACACAUACAUGUAAUAUUAUAGUUAAUUUAUCUUUUGGAUUAUUGUAGAACCUUUACCGACAAUGUAAUUACAUUUUUUAUUAUCAAUAUAAAAAUCUUUCUAAA